GGGGAUGUGGCUCAGUGGUAGAGCCUCUGCUCAGCACGCAGAAGGCACCAGGUUCAGUUCCUGGCAUCUCCA